GAUAUCAGGAGGAACACCGAUGGCGAAGGCAGGUCUCUGGGCAUUAACUGACGCUGAGGAGCGAAAGCAUGGGGAGCGAACAGGAUUAGAUACCCUGGUAGUCCAUGCCGUAAACGUUGGGCACUAGGUGUGGGGGACAUUCCACGUUUUCCGCGCCGUAGCUAACGCAUUAAGUGCCCCGCCUGGGGAGUACGGCCGCAAGGCUAAAACUCAAAGGAAUUGACGGGGGCCCGCACAAGCGGCGGAGCAUGCGGAUUAAUUCGAUGCAACGCGAAGAACCUUACCAAGGCUUGACAUGGACUGGAUCGCCGCAGAAAUGUGGUUUCCCCUUUGGGGUCGGUUCACAGGUGGUGCAUGGUUGUCGUCAGCUCGUGUCGUGAGAUGUUGGGUUAAGUCCCGCAACGAGCGCAACCCUCGUUCUAUGUUGCCAGCGCGUGAUGGCGGGGACUCAUAGGAGACUGCCGGGGUCAACUCGGAGGAAGGUGGGGACGACGUCAAAUCAUCAUGCCCCUUAUGUCUUGGGCUUCACGCAUGCUACAAUGGCCGGUACAAAGGGUUGCGAUACUGUGAGGUGGAGCUAAUCCCAAAAAGCCGGUCUCAGUUCGGAUUGGGGUCUGCAACUCGACCCCAUGAAGUCGGAGUCGCUAGUAAUCGCAGAUCAGCAACGCUGCGGUGAAUACGUUCCCGGGCCUUGUACACACCGCCCGUCAAGUCACGAAAGUUGGUAACACCCGAAGCCGGUGGCCUAACCCCUUGUGGGAGGGAGCUGUCGAAGGUGGGACUGGCGAUUGGGACUAAGU
rnacentral:rRNA from 1 species